AACGAACGCUGGCGGCAUGCCUAACACAUGCAAGUCGAACGGGUACCUUCGGGUGCUAGUGGCGCACGGGUGCGUAACGCGUGGGAAUCUGCCCUUGGGUUCGGAAUAACUCAGCGAAAGCUGUGCUAAUACCGGAUGAUGUCGAAAGACAAAAGAUUUAUCGCCCGAGGAUGAGCCCGCGUUGGAUUAGCUAGUUGGUGGGGUAAAGGCCUACCAAGGCGACGAUCCAUAGCUGGUCUGAGAGGAUGAUCCGCCACACUGGGACUGAGACACGGCCCAGACUCCUACGGGAGGCAGCAGUGGGUAAUAUUGUACAAGGGGCGAAAGCCUGAUCCAGCAAUGCCGCGGGAGUGAGGAAGGCCUUAGUGUUGUAAAGCUCUUUUACCCGGGAUGAUAAUGACAGUACCGGGAGAAUAAGCUCCGGCUAACUCCGUG
rnacentral:rRNA from 1 species